GGUCGCUGAGCAGUAAAGGUGCAGGUGCCUGAAAGCAGGAUUUUUUUUUUUUUAACGCAUUGGUUGAGACUCAGCUCCUGGAUGGCGGCACGCGUGGGGACCUCCCGCACCCUCGGAGCGCGCCUGCCCGCCGUCACUCACGUUUUCUGCACCGGCUUGCGCCGCUUGCGGCUGGCAUAGGUGAUGUUGGCGCCGCUGCUCAUGGUGCCCGCGCCCUGCCCGCUCCACCUGCGUCCCGGAGGCGGCGCCCUGCCCGCGCUGCGCCCAGAAGACAAUAAAACAUCGUUUCCUCCAUCAGACUUCAGGAAGAUGAGAAGGAAAGAAGCACAGGAGUGCUGAGAGCAUGAGAAAUUGGAGGGGACUGAGAUUAUCUUUGCCCAUCUUCCUAGGAAAAAUCUUCUGAGAAUCCCAGGUAGUUCCAGCACAGUUCAAUCCCAAUUUUUGUACCAGCUGGUUGAGGCAGGAAGAGGGAGACGGAUGGAUUGCUACCCAUAAGAUCAGUCCACCUUUCUUCCUGUUUGCAGAUGCUUUUAACCAAUCCUCUUCAUCGACACCAAGUAUCCAUAAGAUGAACCCUAUCGCAGAUUAGGGAUACAGAACUUUGAGAAGUUCCCUCUCUGUAGGAGUAGAAGGCAAGGGAGAACUUGGGGAAGAGACACUGAAGAGACUCAAAGUCUUACUUUGGAGAGACUUGCCUUGUUCAACCUGUUUGCUGCAAAAUCCAGAGAAUGGAGACAAUGAUGAUAACAAUGAUGACAAAGAAGAAGAAGAAGAAGAAGAAGAAGAAGAAGAAGAAGAAGAAGAAGAAGAAGAAGAA
rnacentral:lncRNA from 1 species